UACGUAGGGUGCAAGCGUUGUCCGGAAUUAUUGGGCGUAAAGAGCUCGUAGGCGGUUCGACAAGUCGGGUGUGAAAACUCCGGGCUCAACCCGGAGACGCCACCCGAUACUGUCGUGACUGGAGUCCGGUAGGGGAGUGGGGAAUUCCUGGUGUAGCGGUGAAAUGCGCAGAUAUCGGGAGGAACACCCGUGGCGAAGGCGGCUCUCUGGGACGGUACUGACGCUGAGACGCGAAAGCGUGGGGAGCGAACAGG
rnacentral:rRNA from 1 species